GAAAAGGAUAAGAAGAGUAGGUAGUAAGAGAGAAAGAGUUAUCAGAAAGAAAGAAAAGAAGAAAUGGAAGAGUAGAGAAGAGGAAAAGAGAAGAAAGAAGAAGAGAGAAAUAAGGAAGAAAGGCUUGGAGGAGAAAAGAAAAAGCUCAUCAUCACCAUUUUCUACUCAUCAUCCUCACCAACUUCAUCUUCUUCUUCUACUAGAACAUGUGUUUAUGAGGUUGAGGAAUCCUUGAGUGUUGGUUGCUGAUGGUUUAAUUCUAUCUACUUUUUCAAAAGACAUUCUAAAGGCGGAAUUGAAUGCAGUACACUCAGACUUUUAUGAAAGACAAAAUGAUUCGGCAUAUAUUCUUAAUCAAUUUAGAUGCCACUCAUCAAAACAAGGCCACCAAUAUAAUAAAGUGUUUUUAAUAGGAAACAAAGAGAGUUUGAGGGUGGAGGGGGAAGUCGGUUAUGAUGAUCUUUACGACCAAGUCUUGGAGUUCUACCGUAGUAAAUACUGCGGAAAGGUGAUGAAGUUAGUAGUUAUAGGAGGAGAGUCUAUUCAAAUUAUUCGAGGUUGGGUUGGAAGUUUUUUCAACUCUAUUAAAAAGUGUGACGUGAAAAAGUUUCGAAAACAAGUAUAUCCAACUGGGUUUCAAUGGUACCUCUAUCCAAUUCGGGUUCGACAGUGAGUUCAGGCAAAAAAUAGAAAAAGAAGGCUUCCAAAAAAGCAUUCUAUUUGGGAAUCCGGUAUUUUAUUCGGUUUAAAUGAUCCCACCGAUGAUGAUAUACUGAUAGUUUCAUGGAUUUUGCCUUGUCUAUACGAGGUGUAUCAAUAUCACCCAGAGAUAUAUGGU